UAAGUGGGAAACGAUGUGGGAAGGCCCAGACAGCCAGGAUGUUGGCUUAGAAGCAGCCAUCAUUUAAAGAAAGCGUAAUAGCUCACUGGUCGAGUCGGCCUGCGCGGAAGAUGUAACGGGGCUAAACUAUGCACCGAAGCUGCGGCAGCGACACUAUGUGUUGUUGGGUAGGGGAGCGUUCUGUAAGCCUGUGAAGGUGUGUCGUGAGGCAUGCUGGAGGUAUCAGAAGUGCGAAUGCUGACAUAAGUAACGAUAAAGCGGGUGAAAAGCCCGCUCGCCGGAA
rnacentral:rRNA from 1 species